rnacentral:piRNA from 1 species
GCAGACUGGAGCUGGGACGGCUGCCCUGC